AUAUCAAUAAGCGGAGGAAAAGAAAAUAACAAUGAUUCCCCCUAGUAACUGCGAGUGAAGAGGGAUAAGCUCAAAUUUUAAAUCUGUUAGGUUCGCUUAACCGAGUUGUAAUUUGAAGAAGCGUUUUCGCGUGUUUUGAUCAGCCCAAGUCUCUUGGAAUGGGGCAUCAUGGAGGGUGAGAAUCCCGUUUGGUUGAUCAAUUUGCGUAUGUGAUACGUUUUCAAAGAGUCAAGUUGUUUGGGAUUGCAGCUUAAAAUGGGAGGUAAAUUUCUCCUAAGGCUACAUAUUGGCGAGAGACCGAUAGCGAACAAGUACCGUGAGGGAAAGAUGAAAAGCAUUUUGAAAAGAAAGUUACAAAUAGUAC
rnacentral:rRNA from 1 species